rnacentral:rRNA from 1 species
GGGCGGUGUGCUCUGCGGCGGGGGUGCGUCUUGAAUCCCCUUUCUGGCUUCUCGGCCGGGGAGGCGCGGGUCUCGAUGUGCCCUCGCUUUGGAGUGCCACCCGACGCAUUUCCCUUUGUUCCCGUCCGAAGGACGCCGCGACCGGUUGGUGCGCGACGGCCUCAAGGUCUCGGUCGGCUGGUAGUAUGGGUGGAGGGGGGGGCAACCCCUCUUCCCUCUUAUGGCCCCGGCCGUCCUGGGUUCCGUCGCCCGACCGUGGUCUCUCCGCCUCCUCCCUAGAGAAGCGGGUCUUCUAUUGGAGUCGCGGUCCGUCUCGAAACGGCGUGGGGCGCACGGAAGAUACACCGUGGCCCCGACGUCCGCCAGGGAUCGGUCGCGUCGAUGAUAUCUUAGAUGCCCGUCGGGGGUGCUGGCGGUCUGCGGCGAGUAGGUCGGUCACCCACCCGACCCGUCUUGAAACACGGACCAAGGAGUCUAACAUGUGUGCGAGUCAGUGGGACUCGACUAAGCCCACGGGCGUAAUGAAAGCGAUUUAUUGAGUUGGGAUCCCCUUCCGUGCGAGGAGGGGCGCACCAACGGCCCGCCCUGCCCGAGGGACCCCGAUUGAAUUGAUUAAAAGGGGUGCUUUGGGGGCGGAGUCUGAGCACGCACGUUGGUACCCGAAAGAUGGUGAACUAUGCCCGGGCAGGACGAAGCCGGAGGAAA